UUAAUAGGCCGUUCCAAGAUGCUGUCAAAAUUAAAUCAAUAUGGCUACCGGAAGGCAAACAUUGAAUAUUAUUCUAUCAGGUUCUUAUGGUUUUAGAUCAUUUUAGUUGUUGUACAAAGAUUAAUUUAACAUUUUCUCUGGAAGUAUUAAUUUAGAAAGAUAAUAUGCCUCAUUGGUGUUGUGUUUUGAAGUGGAAAUGCAAAGUAAUCGUGAUAAAGUUAGCUUUUACCACUUACCAUCAGUGCUACAUUCUAAGCACAAAACUGAACCAAUUUAACUAAAUAAGUUAUAGUUAUCAUCUGAGAGACAACAACAAUGGUAAAAUGCAAUAAAAUAUUAAGAUUUUACUAGCAAAAUGGAAAUUCCCCUGUAAUCAUCUUAUAUCUGGAAAACCAGCCGACUUAACUGAUAAUAACAAUCCAGAUUGGGUUCCUUCAAUAAAUAUGGGGUAUAUAAACACAAUGAAAUGAGUUCCCCAAAAUCUAAAAUGGGAAUUAA
rnacentral:lncRNA from 1 species